UGAGGGUUCGAGUCCCUCUAUCCCCAGCGAGACACUUUAAUUAAAC
rnacentral:tRNA from 1 species